GACGAACGCUGGCGGCGUGCUUAACACAUGCAAGUCGAACGGAAAGGCCCUGCUUUUGUGGGGUGCUCGAGUGGCGAACGGGUAAGUAACACGUGAGUAACCUGCCCUUGACUUUGGGAUAACUUCAGGAAACUGGGGCUAAUACCGGAUAGGAGCUCCUGCUGCAUGGUGGGGGUUGGAAAGUUUCGGCGGUUGGGGAUGGACUCGCGGCUUAUCAGCUUGUUGGUGGGGUAGUGGCUUACCAAGGCUUUGACGGGUAGCCGGCCUGAGAGGGUGACCGGCCACAUUGGGGCUGCGAUACGGCCCAGACGCCUACGGGAGGCAGCAGUGGUGAAUAUUGCACAAUGGGUGGAAGCCGGAUGCAGCAACGCCGUGUGCGGGAUGACGGCCUUCGGGUUGUAAACCGCUUUCGCUCAUGACGUAGCUUUGUGUGACGGUAGUGGGUAGAGAAGCACCGGCUAAAUACGUG
rnacentral:rRNA from 1 species